rnacentral:rRNA from 1 species
UGCGAUAAGCGUCGGUGAGGUGAUAUGAACCGUUAUAACCGGCGAUUUCCGAAUGGGGAAACCCAGUGUGUUUCGACACACUAUCAUUAACUGAAUCCAUAGGUUAAUGAGGCGAACCGGGGGAACUGAAACAUCUAAGUACCCCGAGGAAAAGAAAUCAACCGAGAUUCCCCCAGUAGCGGCGAGCGAACGGGGAGGAGCCCAGAGCCUGAAUCAGUGUGUGUGUUAGUGGAAGCGUCUGGAAAGGCGCGCGAUACAGGGUGACAGCCCCGUACACAAAAAUGCACAUAUUGUGAGCUCGAUGAGUAGGGCGGGACACGUGGUAUCCUGUCUGAAUAUGGGGGGACCAUCCUCCAAGGCUAAAUACUCCUGACUGACCGAUAGUGAACCAGUACCGUGAGGGAAAGGCGAAAAGAACCCCGGCGAGGGGAGUGAAAAAGAACCUGAAACCGUGUACGUACAAGCAGUGGGAGCCUCUUAAUGGGGUGACUGCGUACCUUUUGUAUAAUGGGUCAGCGACUUAUAUUCUGUAGCAAGGUUAACCGAAUAGGGGAGCCGAAGGGAAACCGAGUCUUAACUGGGCGUUAAGUUGCAGGGUAUAGACCCGAAACCCGGUGAUCUAGCCAUGGGCAGGUUGAAGGUUGGGUAACACUAACUGGAGGACCGAACCGACUAAUGUUGAAAAAUUAGCGGAUGACUUGUGGCUGGGGGUGAAAGGCCAAUCAAACCGGGAGAUAGCUGGUUCUCCCCGAAAGCUAUUUAGGUAGCGCCUCGUGAAUUCAUCUCCGGGGGUAGAGCACUGUUUCGGCAAGGGGGUCAUCCCGACUUACCAACCCGAUGCAAACUGCGAAUACCGGAGAAUGUUAUCACGGGAGACACACGGCGGGUGCUAACGUCCGUCGUGAAGAGGGAAACAACCCAGACCGCCAGCUAAGGUCCCAAAGUCAUGGUUAAGUGGGAAACGAUGUGGGAAGGCCCAGACAGCCAGGAUGUUGGCUUAGAAGCAGCCAUCAUUUAAAGAAAGCGUAAUAGCUCACUGGUCGAGUCGGCCUGCGCGGAAGAUGUAACGGGGCUAAACCAUGCACCGAAGCUGCGGCAGCGACACUAUGUGUUGUUGGGUAGGGGAGCGUUCUGUAAGCCUGUGAAGGUGGCCUGUGAGGGUUGCUGGAGGUAUCAGAAGUGCGAAUGCUGACAUAAGUAACGAUAAAGCGGGUGAAAAGCCCGCUCGCCGGAAGACCAAGGGUUCCUGUCCAACGUUAAUCGGGGCAGGGUGAGUCGACCCCUAAGGCGAGGCCGAAAGGCGUAGUCGAUGGGAAACAGGUUAAUAUUCCUGUACUUGGUGUUACUGCGAAGGGGGGACGGAGAAGGCUAUGUUGGCCGGGCGACGGUUGUCCCGGUUUAAGCGUGUAGGCUGGUUUUCCAGGCAAAUCCGGAAAACCAAGGCUGAGGCGUGAUGACGAGGCACUACGGUGCUGAAGCGACAAAUGCCCUGCUUCCAGGAAAAGCCUCUAAGCAUCAGGUAACAUCAAAUCGUACCCCAAACCGACACAGGUGGUCAGGUAGAGAAUACCAAGGCGCUUGAGAGAACUCGGGUGAAGGAACUAGGCAAAAUGGUGCCGUAACUUCGGGAGAAGGCACGCUGAUAUGUAGGUGAAGCGACUUGCUCGUGGAGCUGAAAUCAGUCGAAGAUACCAGCUGGCUGCAACUGUUUAUUAAAAACACAGCACUGUGCAAACACGAAAGUGGACGUAUACGGUGUGACGCCUGCCCGGUGCCGGAAGGUUAAUUGAUGGGGUUAGCGGCAACGCGAAGCUCUUGAUCGAAGCCCCGGUAAACGGCGGCCGUAACUAUAACGGUCCUAAGGUAGCGAAAUUCCUUGUCGGGUAAGUUCCGACCUGCACGAAUGGCGUAAUGAUGGCCAGGCUGUCUCCACCCGAGACUCAGUGAAAUUGAACUCGCUGUGAAGAUGCAGUGUACCCGCGGCAAGACGGAAAGACCCCGUGAACCUUUACUAUAGCUUGACACUGAACAUUGAGCCUUGAUGUGUAGGAUAGGUGGGAGGCUUUGAAGUGUGGACGCCAGUCUGCAUGGAGCCGACCUUGAAAUACCACCCUUUAAUGUUUGAUGUUCUAACGUUGGCCCGUAAUCCGGGUUGCGGACAGUGUCUGGUGGGUAGUUUGACUGGGGCGGUCUCCUCCUAAAGAGUAACGGAGGAGCACGAAGGUUGGCUAAUCCUGGUCGGACAUCAGGAGGUUAGUGCAAUGGCAUAAGCCAGCUUAACUGCGAGCGUGACGGCGCGAGCAGGUGCGAAAGCAGGUCAUAGUGAUCCGGUGGUUCUGAAUGGAAGGGCCAUCGCUCAACGGAUAAAAGGUACUCCGGGGAUAACAGGCUGAUACCGCCCAAGAGUUCAUAUCGACGGCGGUGUUUGGCACCUCGAUGUCGGCUCAUCACAUCCUGGGGCUGAAGUAGGUCCCAAGGGUAUGGCUGUUCGCCAUUUAAAGUGGUACGCGAGCUGGGUUUAGAACGUCGUGAGACAGUUCGGUCCCUAUCUGCCGUGGGCGCUGGAGAACUGAGGGGGGCUGCUCCUAGUACGAGAGGACCGGAGUGGACGCAUCACUGGUGUUCGGGUUGUCAUGCCAAUGGCACUGCCCGGUAGCUAAAUGCGGAAGAGAUAAGUGCUGAAAGCAUCUAAGCACGAAACUUGCCCCGAGAUGAGUUCUCCCUGAGACUUAGAGUCUCCUGAAGGAACGUUGAAGACGACGACGUUGAUAGGCCGGGUGUGUAAGCGCAGCGAUGCGUUGAGCUAACCGGUACUAAUGAACCGUGAGGCUUAACCUU